UACAGAGGGGGCGAGCGUUGUUCGGAAUUACUGGGCGUAAAGGGCGCGUAGGCGGCCAACUAAGUCAGACGUGAAAUCCCCAGGCUUAACCUGGGAACUGCGUCGGAUACUGGAUGGCUUGAAUCCGGGAGAGGGAUGCGGAAUUCCAGGUGUAGCGGUGAAAUGCGUAGAUAUCUGGAGGAACACCGGUGGCGAAGGCGGCAUCCUGGACCGGCAUUGACGCUGAGGAGCGAAAGCCAGGGGAGCAAACGGG
rnacentral:rRNA from 1 species